CUCAGAGGCAUGUCCAGAUGUCGGGCGAGUACUUAAUGGAGUAACGCACAAGAUCAAGUGGAGACAGUGGUGUAUUCCUUCUUUGUGUCAAUUUCCUGGUCUUUUCACGUGAAUAAAAACAAGAUAUCCUGGUUCACCCACGCAAAUAAAAUUGGAUUCUUCAAGGCAGGCGUUGAAAGAGCCAUAAUAUAUAUGAGAGACCAGCCAGAAUCUUCCUGAUUUCAUGUGGCCACAAUCGAGAAGUUGCAAAACGAUUUCACGCUUAUUAAGACCUGAUUACAAGCUGUCUCUGUGGUACCAGAUGAUCAACGAUCCAACUUGUGAUUAAAACGAGUUUUAUUGAUCAAACCUCUUGGGAUAUCAGUAGCAAUUUAACCAACUAUUUACACAUAUCAACUUUUCUUCAUAUGAUUGUUGGAAAUCAUUUUCGCCCUCUGGGAUAUUUUGUUUGAAUUUAAAAGAAAAAGGAUUUAAAAAAAAAAUAUCUACAGUCUGACUUCCUGAAUGAUAAAUAUCGUUGUAUCGUUUCAACGGUCCACUCGACUAGAUAAACCAUGCUUAUUUGUACACCAAGGCGCCAGGAAUAUAUACCUCUCGAUCGUUACGUUGUCUCUUGAAUGUAUGUUCAUAUGUAACCUUAAGCUGAAUAUAUAUAAAAGGACGUUUUAUCCAGUACAAAAACAAAAAACAGAUAAAAACAAGUAAGAUAAAGAAAAAAAAUUAUCCAGGACUGGAAGGACGCCUAGUUAUAUUCGUAACGAGGAAGCAACUUUUUGCGUGAGAUCAGCAACACCCACACAUUGACAAUACACUUUCACAUUUCUCAUAAAGUGUACAACUAUUACAGAGGCUUCUAACAAAC